GAUGAACGCUAGCGGCAGGCCUAAUACAUGCAAGUCGAACGGUGUCUUCGGACAUAGUGGCGCACGGGUGCGUAACACGUAUGCAACCUACCUUACAUUGGGGGAUAGCCUUUCGAAAGGGAGAUUGAUACCGCAUAAGACAGUAGCUGGGCAUCCAGCAGCUGUUAAAGAUUUAUCGAUGUAAGCUGGGCAUGCGUCCAAUUAGCUAGUUAGUGAGGUAACGGCUCACCAAGGCAAUGAUUGGUAGGGGAACUGAGAGGUCUGUCCCCCACACUGGCACUGAGAUACGGGCCAGACUCCUACGGGAGGCAGCAGUAGGGAAUAUUGGGCAAUGGACGCAAGUCUGACCCAGCCAUGCCGCGUGCAGGAUGAAGGCGUUAUGCGUUGUAAACUGCUUUUAUACAGGAAGAAACGACUCUUGCGAGAGGCAUUGACGGUACUGUAUGAAUAAGCACCGGCUAACUCCGUGCCAGCAGCCGCGGUAAGAC
rnacentral:rRNA from 1 species